rnacentral:lncRNA from 1 species
UCAAUUUGUUGAGAUUCGUACAUAUGAGAGAUGGAAGGUUAGUUUACUUGUGUACAAGUUGAACUAAUUCAUAAAAUAGAUUUUUUAUGUUAUAGGUUGUAAGGAAAAAGUCCAAAGGAUAAGUGCUCAAAAUAAAAAGUCACACUUAUUGUUUCGUGGUAGGUGUAGAGAACUUAAAGAGAAGAUAAUGUAGGAAAAGGAAAAAUCUAGACGCC